UGUUCGCAUCAAUUUAGAGUGCCAGCAUGUCCUUUUUUAUUCAAAAUAUUGAAUCGUAAACAAAAUUCAGUAGUUUUCAUACCUCAGACUGACUCAUAUAAUAAAAAUAUUUGUCCGCAACAACCAAAACUGACCAUAUAAGCAUUCUAGUAUGUAAAUCUAUAUAGCUGCAUAGUAAAUGAGUUAUAUUUUCAAGUAAGGAUUGAUUGUAUAAUAAAAAAGGUAGAUAUAUUUGAAUAUUAUGAUUAAAAAAAUUUUGUUCCCAUCAAUUUAGAGUGCCAGCAUGUCCUUUUUUAUUUAAAAUAUUGAAUCGUAAACAAAAUUCAGUAGUUUUCAUACCUCAGACUGACUCAUAUAAUAAAAUUAUUUGUCCGCAACAACCAAAACUGACCAUAUAAGCAUUUUAUUAUGUAAAUCUAUAUAGCCGCAUAGUAAAUGAGUUAUAUUUUCAUGUAAGGAUUGAUUGUAUAAGAAAAU
rnacentral:lncRNA from 1 species